GCAUUUACUUCGACUUUGGAUACGCAACUGUGAAAAGCGCGGCAGCGGUAGCAGCGGUUACUCCUCAGAAUCUGAAACCACGCCGGCGGUUCUUUAUUCCAUGACGGCGGCAAGCCUGCGACCGUCGAAACGCGAGUGGGAUUUUUCUCUUGCGUCCGUUGCGCCUGUGAUACCCGACAACUGUAGCAGCAUGUCAUCUGAUCCGACUUCAACUGAAGGCUCGCCGACUGAUGCGGAAGCAGUUUACCUCGUUUCGCACGGGCCACCAAAGAAAAUUGUGAAGUUCACAGGCGCCCGGAAGCUCGCCGACCUUCACGAAAGUGUGCGGAUGGGUGGGUUCGCGCACCUGAUGACAUGCAACGAUCUCCUAAUACAGCAUGCUGGAAGCUGCACAGGGGAGUUGGCAAGGGGGCACAAGGAAGCAAUGCCCCGUUGCUGUCCGUAGGGUGAACGCAAGGCGGCUCGUGGCGGCCGCAAUUUCUACACUGCGCUUUUCAUCUCUGGAGCCAUGCGCAGCAGCGUGCAGUCGUCAUGUUCAGAAAAGCAGUGCAAAGGUACCCGAAUAAGCUGUACAACAUUGCUGCAAGGUGCCUUGGUAAACCAGUACCCAGCCCUGAGGAACAGAUUGGACUCUGGCUAUGUAAGAGCAUUUCCUUGUAAAUUUCCUUCAUUUUGAUUUCUUUGGCACAUUUAAAGGUUGAAAUAUGCUGUCAAAGUCUUUCUUAGCACUUCGUAAUGUUUAUGGCCAUUGUUUCUCGCAACUGUUCUCGUCUGUGUGCUUGUCAUUGAGUAGACAUGCUGUGAUCUAUAAGCUUUGCAGUUUGACUAAAUUUGAAGAUGCCAACAGCAGCUCUGCAUCUGAGGUGCAAUACGGCCACCUUCUGUAAAAUUAAUUGCAUGCUCAGCUAAAUAUACAAUUGGUUGAACAAUAUAUUUUGUACCUGUAGUCAUUUAUGCAUAAAAAUUUUGACCAAACUAAUACAGAAAGAAAUUACUCAACUGCUGUGUUGAAAGGUGUGCUAAGAUAGCUCGACUGGUACAUUUUAGAACAUGAAGGAAACAGUGCAAAAAACAAGUUAAGAUUAGGGCAACUCUGUUUUUACUGUGUACUGUUUUCAAUUUAUUACACAACCUGAAAACCGGAAGCCACUAAACUGGUAUUUAUGUAAAGUCAGUUGCUUUCACUUCAUUCUAGUUCUCCUGGCACAUGCACCUGAAAAACAAGUACAAAAUCUUAAAGCUUAAAUCUCCUAAUUUAUCUAAAUUGCACUGUUGUUCCCACUUGCUGCUACAUAACUGUCAACUGCAUCAGAGCUGCUCUUGCAAAAUCGUGUGUACUAGGUAUCCUGAAACUGAUAAUUGCUGUACCAAUGUUAGCUUCAGCUAAUGGUAAACACAUCAUAAUAAAUAAGACGAAUAAUGCAAAACAACAGUAUCUGAAAAAGCAUACCACCAUGUUUGACAAGUAGUCAGAAAGUGUUGCUAUGUAUCAUUGCUGUUAAUUGGUGUUCUUUUUCGCAUUAGAACGCCUUUAGAUUAAUAACAGUGCAUCUACUUCUGUAACAAUUUUUAUUUCUUGUCGUGAAAUAAUGCAUCUAAAAUAAUAAAUUUCACAAUCAGUUAUUUCUGUAACUAUGAUGACUAGCCUGAUCUCACUUAAAUGUUCAUGCUACAGGUUGAAUUUUUUUUCGGCUGAGUUUGCUUUGUAUAUACAGAAAAUUUGUUUAAAUUUGGAGGACACACACAGUCAUGACUGAAAGGAAUAAAGUGAGGUUGGUCACAAGCUGUUUUUCAGCAUUAAUUAAGGAAGCCACAAUGCUAUGUGAAUAUAAAACUUAUUCCCAGUGAAUAGCUUCUGUUGACUGCCAAGGAACCGUGGAGUGCAGUACAGCAGCAGUAUGGUAGCAAUGUAAGAUCUGCUCACAAUUGAUUGUUUACAUGGCGUUGAAUUGAAAGGUGCUACUGAGUCACGAGAAAGCACAGCAGAAAGGAAACAGAUGAUACCAUUUUUUUAUUGUAGCUCGUUCAUGCAUUUCACUUCGACAUGUAUAAUGAACUAGCCCCAAAUUCAGGUGGAAACAGCGCUAAGGAUACAAAGUGAAAGCACAUUGAGGAAAUUACACGUUGCACUGAGUAUUUUUUCUAUGCGUCCUCACAUAAUCCAAGUGUGUCCACCUGAAUAGGAGUAACAAACUAGCAGAUAUGUUCACAUUAGCUUGGCCCAUCCUUAAGCUUUCUGAAGUUAGCAUUACAUAAUUUUAAGGAAACUAUAACUUGAAUCAGUGCCUGUAUAGUAUGUUUUUCAAAUACGUAGUUAUUGCUAGUUUUUCUUAAACAAACAAAAAAGUACAAUGUAAUAUAAUGAGCAAGGUUUUCAUGUUUGGUCCAACCAUUGAAAGGCCAAGUGAACCACAGCGGAAAUUAAAUGUGGUUUUAUUGAACUGUAGAAGUCAUAAAAAAUAUAAAAAAGAUAACUUGCCACUGGUGGGAGCAAAACCCACAUCUUGCAAAUAUAGCAUGCAAUAGUCUACUCAUUGAGCUGUGGUAGUAGCUGUCCUCUCAUUCACAUUCUUGGGGAUUUGUGUAUGUGUACUAAAUGUGGCCCAGCACCAAACUCAUAAUCCUGGCAGAAGAUGUGGCACAUACUUUUACCUGCAACCAUCACAAAGGGGAUGACCCUUAGGAGCAGGCAGCAGGCCUAUAAGUAUUUGCAUUCAUAACAGCAUUGGUGCCUUCAGGUAGCAUACAGUGCCAUCUGCCUGCUCUUAAAUGUCAUGUACCGCAUGACGCCUACGG